GUUCCCUAUGAUGAUUAAUAUCAUGCUAAUUCUGAUAAUUCUAUGUGAUUAUACAUUUAACAUUACUGAGGGAACA